rnacentral:tRNA from 1 species
CAAAAUGUAGCUUAAUAAAAGCCUUUCGCUUACACCGAAAUGACAUCUGUUAAACCCGGAUCAUUUUGA